GGAGAAUGUUAUCACGGGAGACACACGGCGGGUGCUAACGUCCGUCGUGAAGAGGGAAACAACCCAGACCGCCAGCUAAGGUCCCAAAGUCAUGGUUAAGUGGGAAACGAUGUGGGAAGGCCCAGACAGCCAGGAUGUUGGCUUAGAAGCAGCCAUCAUUUAAAGAAAGCGUAAUAGCUCACUGGUCGAGUCGGCCUGCGCGGAAGAUGUAACGGGGCUAAACCAUGCACCGAAGCUGCGGCAGCGAACGUAUCACCCAAGACAACUUUACGGAGUUGACGAUUGACGGAGCGAAGCGACGUCAAAGCGUUCAUUAAAGUCGAGUUGGCUUAGGGAUACGUUCGUUGGGUAGGGGAGCGUUCUGUAAGCCUGUGAAGGUGUGUCGUGAGGCAUGCUGGAGGUAUCAGAAGUGCGAAUGCUGACAUAAGUAACGAUAAAGCGGGUGAAAAGCCCGCUCGCCGGAAGACCAAGGGUUCCUGUCCAACGUUAAUCGGGGCAGGGUGAGUCGACCCCUAAGGCGAGGCCGAAAGGCGUAGUCGAUGGGAAACGGGUUAAUAUUCCCGUACUUGGUGUUACUGCGAAGGGGGGACGGAGAAGGCUAUGUUGGCCGGGCGACGGUUGUCCCGGUUUAAGCGUGUAGGUGUGUGUUCCAGGUAAAUCCGGUUCACUUUAACACUGAGGCGUGAUGACGAGGCACUACGGUGCUGAAGCAACAAAUGCCCUGCUUCCAGGAAAAGCCUCUAAGCAUCAGGUAACAUCAAAUCGUACCCCAAACCGACACAGGUGGUCAGGUAGAGAAUACCAAGGCGCUUGAGAGAACUCGGGUGAAGGAACUAGGCAAAAUGGUGCCGUAACUUCGGGAGAAGGCACGCUGACACGUAGGUGAAGUGAUUUACUCACGGAGCUGAAGUCAGUCGAAGAUACCAGCUGGCUGCAACUGUUUAUUAAAAACACAGCACUGUGCAAACACGAAAGUGGACGUAUACGGUGUGACGCCUGCCCGGUGCCGGAAGGUUAAUUGAUGGGGUCAGCGCAAGCGAAGCUCCUGAUCGAAGCCCCGGUAAACGGCGGCCGUAACUAUAACGGUCCUAAGGUAGCGAAAUUCCUUGUCGGGUAAGUUCCGACCUGCACGAAUGGCGUAAUGA
rnacentral:rRNA from 1 species